AAUAAGAUAAAAUUACGUCACAUCCGGGCAUAUAAUUCAGUUGAAUUUCCAGCAGGUGAGCAUAGAGAUCAAUUGAUACGUGUGUGUGCAACGUCCAGCAUUAAAAUGGACAGGUAAGUUAUUUUUUACUACUUUAGCAGCAGCGUUUUAUCUCCCAGUCCACGUGGAUGUAAAGUUAUUUGAGUAGGCUGUAAAAAGCCCUGCACGUCCUUCACACAGGAAGGAACCUGCAGACACGUUCAUUAUAAACCUGAGUUUUUGCAUUAUAUUAAUUCUGCAGACCUUUCCAGCGAGAAUGAGCCUGUUGUGGCUCUGUCCUUUCCUGUAGUGUCUGCUAGAGAAAUUUGGGGCUGUUUGAGGCCCUGCUGUGUGCUCUUCAUGGCAGGGUUAUAGGUAAACCUCAGACAAACUGUCAGGUAUUUAUUGUUUAAUUAUUACUGCUCAUUUGAGCUUGACAUAAUUGUUUACUGUUUUCUAAUGUAGGUACACCUUGAAGCAAAAUUCCUUUAAUUUUAACAUGAACCCAUGUGCCGUGUGCAACUUUGGCAUAGCAAAAGUAGUAAUAAAUGUCAGAAUGUCCAGAAAACAUGUCAUCACUAUUUUAAUACAUCAGUGUGAAUGUGUGUAUUUUAUAACAAGAAAUACACAAUACUUUAAUGUCAGAGUAUGAAUGGCAAGACAUUCCCAGUAUUUGUAAUUUGCUUUGUCAGCCUUAUUCUACAGUAUUACACACACACACCUCUAUGCGAGUUAACGUACACAUUGUUUUAAUACUGUCAACACAAACUACAAGAAUUAUGUAUCAUGUUUCACUCAAGAUUGGCAGUAAAGCCUUACAUAAGCCAUUAAACUUUAAUCCUUUCAUGGCACAUAAUGCAUAAAGUGAUGCUUUUACUUGGUAAAACUUGUAUAAUUUGGUACUUAAAAGUAAAACUGUACUUUUACAGGACUGCAGCGACGAUGCCAGGCCCAGCCAUGUUCAGACCUCCUGACUGACAUCUGGUGCUGAAGUAUGAGUUAAGUGUCUGCUAGAGAGAUGUGAGGCUGUUUGAGGCCCUGCUGUGAUUCUUCAUGGCAGGGUUAUAGGAGUUGAAGUCACAUGAAGGCAUUGGGCUUCUGAGUGUAUGUCUGUCAUGUAGAAGCUCUCAAGGGACGUCAAGUGUCCACCUCACUUACUGAGCUUGAUACUGGCAUUUUUAAUCUUUCAAAGGCUCCACGGCUUCUGUCUACCUCAAUGAAGAGUCUGCAAGUAACCAUGUGGAUCAAUGUUGUGGCUCCUCAUUAAAACCAGAGGGUGCUGCAAACUUCAUCAAUAUGGCAAGACUCAAACGCAGAUUUCAUUUCGAGCCGAAGAACCAGUUCAUCUGCUGACGGGAAACAACGGUCACAUUUAGAUGUCUGACCUUCAGAUAAUUCCCAGUUUUUUGUGAUUUGCAAACUUGUACAUCAGCAGAAAAGUCUAAAAAAAAAAUAAUGGUGAAGAUGGAAGAGUUUUUGAGUCUUAAUUGCAGUAAUAUUUGUUGAUAAAAUCAUCUGUACGAGGGAUUGACGAGAAAUGUUAAAAUAAACAUCCUAAAUA